rnacentral:rRNA from 1 species
GUAGUUAGCCGGGGCUUCCUCCUUGGCUACCGUCACUUUCUUCGUCACCAAGGACAGAGGUUUACAAUCCGAAGACCUUCUUCCCUCACGCGGCGUUGCUGGGUCAGGCUUGCGCCCAUUGCCCAAUAUUCCCCACUGCUGCCUCCCGUAGGAGUCUGGACCGUGUCUCAGUUCCAGUGUGGCCGAUCAGCCUCUCAGCUCGGCUACCCAUCGUUGGCUAGGUGGGCCGUUACCCCGCCUACUACCUAAUGGGACGCGAACCCCUCCUUCUGCGGAUUGCUCCUUUGACCCCUGAGCCAUGCGACUCUGUGGUCUUAUGCGGUAUUAGCACUUGUUUCCAGGUGUUAUCCCCCUCAAAAGGGCAGGUUGUUCACGCGUUACUCACCCGUCCGCCGCUAGAAAAGCUCCGAAGAACUUUUCUCGCUCGACUUGCAUGUGUUAAGCACGCCGCCAGCGUUCAUCCUGAGCCAGGAUCAAACUCUGA